rnacentral:tRNA from 1 species
CCGGGAUAGCUCAGUUGGUAGAGCAGGGGACUGAAAAUCCUCG